rnacentral:rRNA from 1 species
ACAAUGAAGAGUUUGAUCCUGGCUCAGGAUGAACGCUAGCGGCAGGCUUAAUACAUGCAAGUCGAGGGGCAGCGCGGGUAGCAAUACCUGGCGGCGACCGGCGCACGGGUGCGUAACACGUAUGCAACCUACCUUAAACUGGGGAAUAGCCCCUCGAAAGAGGGAUUAAUGCCCCAUAACACUGUGAAGAGGCAUCUUUUUACAUUUAAAGCUCCGGCGGUUUAAGAUGGGCAUGCGCGACAUUAGCUAGUUGGUGAGGUAACGGCUCACCAAGGCUGUGAUGUCUAGGGGUUCUGAGAGGAAAAUCCCCCACACUGGUACUGAGACACGGACCAGACUCCUACGGGAGGCAGCAGUAAGGAAUAUUGGUCAAUGGACGCAAGUCUGAACCAGCCAUGCCGCGUGCAGGAUGACGGCCCUAUGGGUUGUAAACUGCUUUUGUACGGAAAAAAACCCCCCGACGUGUCGGGGGCUGAUGGUACCGUAAGAAUAAGGAUCGGCUAACUCCGUGCCAGCAGCCGCGGUAAUACGGAGGAUCCUAGCGUUAUCCGGAUUUAUUGGGUUUAAAGGGUGCGCAGGCGGAAUAGUAAGUCAGUGGUGAAAUCCUGCAGCUUAACUGCAGAACUGCCAUUGAUACUGUUAUUCUUGAGUAUAUUUGAAGUGGGCGGAAUGUGUCAUGUAGCGGUGAAAUGCUUAGAUAUGACACAGAACACCAAUUGCGAAGGCAGCUCACUAAACUAUAACUGACGCUCAUGCACGAAAGCGUGGGGAUCAAACAGGAUUAGAUACCCUGGUAGUCCACGCUGUAAACGAUGAUUACUCGAUGUUGGCGAUAUACAGUCAGCGUCUAAGCGAAAGCAAUAAGUAAUCCACCUGGGGAGUACGAUCGCAAGGUUGAAACUCAAAGGAAUUGACGGGGGCCCGCACAAGCGGAGGAGCAUGUGGUUUAAUUCGAUGAUACGCGAGGAACCUUACCUGGGCUUGAAUGCUAUACUUCGCAAGAAGGUGUCUGCAGAAAUGUAGAUGAAAAUUGCAAGGUGCUGCAUGGCUGUCGUCAGCUCGUGCCGUGAGGUGUCGGGUUAAGUCCCAUAACGAGCGCAACCCCUAUUGUUAGUUGCCAUCAGGUAAUGCUGGGCACUCUAGCGAAACUGCCUACGCAAGUAGUGAGGAAGGUGGGGAUGACGUCAAGUCAGCACGGCCCUUACGCCCAGGGCUACACACGUGCUACAAUGGCCGGUACAGAGGGCAGCUACCAGGUGACUGGAUGCAAAUCUCUAAAACCGGUCUCAGUUCGGAUCGAAGUCUGCAACUCGACUUCGUGAAGUUGGAUUCGCUAGUAAUCGGAUAUCAGCAAUGAUCCGGUGAAUACGUUCCCGGGCCUUGUACACACCGCCCGUCAAGCCAUGGAAGUCGGGAGUACCUGAAGUCGAUGACCGCAAGGAAUUGCCUAGGGUAAAACCGAUGACUGGGGCUAAGUCGUAACAAGGUAGCCGUACCGGAAGGUGUGGCUGGAAUACCUCCUUU